rnacentral:lncRNA from 1 species
CGGGUUAGUGGAGAUUUUGAAAAAGUUUGAACUUUGCUGGAACUCCCACCAAUGGGGAGGUGGGGCUUUUAUCCCAAGAGAGAGCUUCCUCUACGUAGAGAGAGGAUUUCUUUUUAUCCAUUCCUACUUAAUGCAUUGUUACAUCCCGGAUGACUGAUCCGAACCGAAGGGGUUCUGUGACGGCCCCACCUCCCCCUAGGGCGUACCCCAGGGUUCGGCGGGCCGCCUGCCCAACUCUCGCCGGGACUCAGUCGCUCACUACAGUCCUCAAACAAAUAUAAGAUAAAUCUCAAUAUAACUCAAAUGAAUUACAAGAUAAAUCUCAAAUAUUACAUCAAAUUCUCCAAUAAAUAAUUACAUAUCAAAAGCGAAGCGUCCAUGCUUCCACUGCGCCACUCUGAUCCAUGAUCCAACUAUUAUACAAGAGGAAGUCCAAAUCCAGAAAUUCCAAAACCAGCUGAAAGCUAAGAAACAGGGAUACAUUUCAUCAGAAGACCUCAACAACCAAUUCGGAAGCAAUUCCAGCCAAAACAACCAAUUACAGGCGCAAUUCUUACAUUCGGGUAAAACCAGAACAGCAAUAGUAAUUUCGACUUUUCUCAUUCUACGCUACUCCGAUUGACCUGAAAUUUUGUAGGCACCUCUAAAAUAUCAUUACCUACAACUUUCAUGUUUUAAGCCAAGGCCAAUUCGGCUUCUAACUAGGAGCUAUAAAUUCGGGCAGAAUGUAAUUGCCAAGAACCCUAAUUUUCUAGAUUUCUUUCAAAACAGAAAUUGCUUGCAAUUGUCCACUUUUUCCACCUUCUAGCUUCAUUACAUAACAUUUCCAAUCAUCAUACAUGACCACACAAUCAUGCUUAUAUUAAAACAGAAAAAUCCCCAAAAAUAAUAAAACUUCAUCAUUUCAACCACAAAUCAAGAAAUAACCCAUAAACUUGCAUCUCAUACUACCACUAAGCAUGAUUUAAGCAUCAAUUAAAGAAGGAGGGUGGUUCUUCACAACUCACCUUAGAAACAAGAGAGAGAGAGCUAGUGGUCACCUUAACUUUCCAAAUAACUUCACCAAUCACCUCAAAAUCACUAAGUGGAGGGGUUUUAUGGAGUAAUUGCAAGAUCAAAUGGUUGGAUGGUUCAACUUGAGCAAGAUUGGAGCCUAAAACUUGAAGAGUUUUCUUUCUUUCUUGAGAGAGAGGGUCGGCCAAGCUUGCAGAAAUUUGGGUGCUUUUUGGGUCAAAAUUGAGUAUUAGUAAAGGUAAGAAAUAAUGGUCAAAAUCAAGGUUUAAUAGGAAGGUGACACUUGUCACCCUUAGGUUCAAAACUUAUUUUUUUGUCUCUCCAAUACAAAUAUCUUAACACAUUGUAAAAUAAUAUCACUUAAUACAAAAUUCCAACAAGUUGUCAAAAAUAUAAUGCAUUUACCGCACUUGCGGGUCCCACGUCCAAAAUACGCUCUUAAUUUCUCAAAAACUAACCGAUACUAGAAAAAUCAUUUUAAAACUAUCUUUGCUCAUAAACUUUAUCUGGGAAAUUUUUCUAAUAAAGAAAAUGUAGAAAAGGCGGGCGAUUAAAUAAAAUAAACACUAGAAAAUUAGAAAAUUUUCGGGUUCUCACACUCAUUCUUUUCGGGGCGUCACAGGUUCACCUAUCAAAUCCGCACAAAGAGCACGGACACAGCACUGGGCUUUAUCUUUCGAUCCCACUCCGACGAUCAAGUCAGUUCGGGUACUUAAUUGCAGACUAAAAGCAAGGGUCUUGGUAUCUCUAAUACUUAUAUAAGUGAGAGUGAGUGUCUGUAACUUUCCUACGGAUGGAAGGGUAUUUGUAGGAAACAAUAUGGUGGGAAAAAUGAUAAACUCCAGUUCCCAUAGGCCUUAGGCUGACAGUGUCAAGCUUAGACCUAAUGGAAGGGACAUAGCAUUGGCCAUGUCACUAUCACGUCAAAGUCAGUUUUCCCAGGGAUACGUCAGAUGUCAGAUAGAAGGCCAAAUCGAGGUGCAGUCACCUUGGGGGAGAUGGAGCGAGGCAAUAAGUCGAGGUGGCACGGGACUCGCGGAGACCACCUCGCCCAGCCGCGAAACUGAGGGAGGGCCGAGGUGGACGCCCUUAGGAGCCAUCUUAGCUUCUACGUUGAAGGGCUUCCGACUGAAGAGCUUUCCUAGAAUGCAAAGAUCACUGGGAAAAGUUGAGUCUCCGUUACUAUCAUCAAGCAAUAGCAGCACCUUCUCCUCAUCAUCUCUCAGCGUAAGAUUUUGGCACAACCUUUCUAAUUCUUCAGCCAUGGCUUUAAGAAAAAUAAUUCAGCCAGCGAAGUGGAGAAAUGAGUAACCAAAGGAUGAGUGAUUUAAACUGCGUACCUGCAGAUUACAAAGAGAAACUAGAUUAGAAAAAAGUGAUGAGGAAAUAAGAACUAAAAGGUAAGCAAAGGAAAGGAAUUGAAUUAAUCCACCUGCCACUACUGCAAUUCCAUUCAUUGCUCUAAAUUCAUCAUAAGUACUAGAAUAUCAAAAACCCAAAAUGCAGCCGCUGGUACAGCGGUACUCAAGAUCAUAAGCCUUAUGUGGCAAUCUCGUAUUUUUCAAUCUAUCAGACUUUUGAACCUUCCUUAUACAAUUCUUUUCUUGGGUAUGUAUCACUUUCAAAUAUAUGGAAUCUACUAUCUCUAUAGAAAAUUAUUUUGAUAAUGCAUCUUUACAUUACUAUUUGCUCUUUAUCUCCCUUUAUAGAAGUUAAUUCCUACAGCACUAGAAAUCAGUUUAUAAAAGUCAAAAUGUUGAAAAAUCUUUGAACUAAAUUCCAAAGAUUCAAUAUUUUAACACUAUUAUAGGAAAAGCUAAUCUGCUCAAUUGACAAACCUUUUCAACCAAACAACAAACAAAAUAUGAGUUACAAAAAAAUGAUACAAUAAUUAGAAACAAAUAAAGUAACAAAAUUGUUUCAUAAUUUAAUUAGUCAACUUUUUUAACGAUUU